GAUGUCAAGACGGUUGCUACACACACCCGAGGACA
rnacentral:tRNA from 1 species